GUCAACGGCCAUAUCACGUAGAACGCACCUGGUCUCGUCAGCUCCCAGACGUUAAGUUGCGUCGAGUCGACCGCUUGGGAAUACGGGAUGUCGUUGGCG
rnacentral:rRNA from 1 species